rnacentral:rRNA from 1 species
UACGUAGGGUGCAAGCGUUGUCCGGAAUUAUUGGGCGUAAAGAGCUCGUAGGCGGCUUGUCGCGUCGACUGUGAAAUCCCGCGGCUCAACUGCGGGUCUGCAGUCGAUACGGGCAGGCUAGAGUUCGGUAGGGGAGACUGGAAUUCCUGGUGUAGCGGUGAAAUGCGCAGAUAUCAGGAGGAACACCGGUGGCGAAGGCGGGUCUCUGGGCCGAUACUGACGUGAGGAGCGAAAAGCGUGGGGGAGCGAAACAGGG